ACAACGUGGAAAUAACGUGCAAGCAUCAUGUCAUCGUCCCGUCGCUCUGCUCGGACAACAGCCGAGCAAUACGAAAUAAUGGUGCAGUAUAUGCAGGAGCACGAAAACCUCCUGCGAGGCACAUUUUCUCCCGCGUAUACUGCGCAACAGCGUGAUAGGGAUUGGGGGCAACUAGUGGAGCGCCUGAACUCUGCGGGGGGUGCUGUGAAGACGGUGGAGAGGUGGCGAAAGAGGCAUGGCAGGAUUGGAAGUCAAAUGUCAAGGCCAAGGCAGCCAGGAUACGAUCAUCCAGGAGUAGGACAGGGGGUGGGCCUCCCCCCAAAGAGCAGUUUACCCCUGCAGAGGAAGUGUUAGUUGGUCUCCUGGGAGAAGUCUCCAUCGUUGGGGUGGACACGACGGCUGAACUGGGCGUAAGCCUUGGAAGAACAAACCCAAGCUACCAGUUCAGCUGCUGAGCUACGCCGCGUAGUAAUACACGAUGGGGCUACAGCAGGUGGAGCAGGGAAUGUUUCCCCCCCCCCCCCCCUACAUCACAGGAGACCGAGAUUUUGUCCCCCUCAGUGACAGCAGCAGAUAGUGGUAAACAGGACAACCCUCCUUCAUCCCCGCAUAUGCCACAGGAGGGGCAAAGUGAGGUAGCGAGCCGAGGCACCGGAGGAGAAGCAGGAUCAGUAAGAUUAGUUUACAUGCAAUUGUUGGUGAUGUCUUAAGUUUUGUAGCGCUUGCAUUUGCUCUGUGUUGAUGCAGUAAAUCACACAUACAGGGGCUCUCAGGCAGCAGUAUCAAAACGAGGUCGGCCAAAGCUUUAUCGGCCUGCAAAGGGAACAGCAAGCACAGUUACGACAAAUAUGCGGCUCCCUAACAGCACUCGUGGGUGCUGUCAACAUGUUAGCUGAUGCAGCCGAAGAGCUCCGAGAAAUCAAGGACCUCCUCACCGUAACCAUUUAUUUUAUUGCCUUUAUGAAAACUUUCCCCUCAAGUAUGGAGGUAUAACAUGCACGUACUAUCAGGCUUGCUAACUAGCAGGCUAUAAAUUUGCAAUACAAUAAAACUUUGCCGUAAUGAGCCUGA